rnacentral:sRNA from 2 species
UCCCUGCGUGCGCCGAGCCUCGCCAGCCAGGGAUGCAGCCCACACCCGUGGGCCGGGCGAGGACGGGGGACCCAGUGUGGCCAGUGAGUGCAUGUGUGUUCGAGCGCAUGACAAGAGGACGAGAUCUGGCCUUGGGGUGAGGUCGCGCGAGCGACGGGGCACCUGACGCCCUAACCCGACAGCUAACCCCGCAGGCGCGCGUCAGGAAGGAACA